rnacentral:rRNA from 1 species
GCAUAUCAAUAAGCGGAGGAAAAGAAACCAACAGGGAUUGCCCCAGUAACGGCGAGUGAAGCGGCAUCAGCUCAAAUUUGAAAUCUGGCGUCUUCGGCGUCCGAGUUGUAAUUUGUAGAGAGUGUCUCGGGUGGAGCACCGGUCCAAGUCCCUUGGAACAGGAUAUCAUAGAGGGUGAGAAUCCCGUAUCCGGCCGGUCCCCUCCCCCGCUGUGAGACCUCUUCGACGAGUCGAGUUGUUUGGGAAUGCAGCUCUAAAUUGGAGGUAAAUUCCUUCUAAAGCUAAAUACUGGCCAGAGACCGAUAGCGCACAAGUAGAGUGAUCGAAAGAUGAAAAGCACUUUGAAAAGAGAGUCAAACAGUACGUGAAAUUGUUGAAAGGGAAGCGUAUGCGGCCAGACUUGUCCCCAGUUGCUCAGCCCGUCUUUUGGCGGGUGUACUCUUCUGGGGCCAGGCCAGCAUCGGUUUGGGCGGUCGGAUAAAGACGUUAGGAAUGUGGCCCCUCUCGGGGGGUGUUAUAGCCUGGCGUGCAAUGCGAUCAGCCCGGACCGAGGCCCGCGUUCUGCUAGGAUGCUGGCGUAAUGGCCGUAUACGGCCCGUCUUGAAACACGGACCAAGGAGUGCAACAUCUAUGCGAGUGUUUGGGUGUCAAGCCCGGACGCGAAAUGAAAGUGAACGGAGGUGGGAGCUUCGGCGCACCAUCGACCGAUCCUGAUGUCUUCGGAAGGAUUUGAGUAAGAGCAUAGCUGAUGCGACCCGAAAGAUGGUGAACUAUGCGUGAAUAGGGUGAAGCCAGAGGAAACUCUGGUGGAGGCUCGCAGCGGUUCUGACGUGCAAAUCGAUCGUCAAAUUUGCGUAUAGGGGCGAAAGACUAAUCGAACCAUUUAGUAGCUGGUUCCUGCGA